rnacentral:rRNA from 1 species
AGCAGCCGCGGUAAUUCCAGCUCCAAUAGCGUAUAUUAAAGUUGUUGCAGUUAAAAAGCUCGUAGUUGAAUUUCGGGAUCAGUAGGUUGGUCGUGCCACCGGUAUGUACUGGCCUUGCUGGUUCCUCCUUCUUGAAGAACCGUGAUGCCAUUAAUUUGGUGUUGCGGGGAAACAGGACUGUUACUUUGAAAAAAUUAGAGUGUUUAAAGCAAGCUAACGCUUGAAUACAUUAGCAUGGAAUAAUAGAAUAGGACGUUCGAUCCUAUUUUGUUGGUUUCUAGGGUUGACGUAAUGAUUAAUAGGGAUAGUUGGGGGCAUUAGUAUUCAAUUGUCAGAGGUGAAAUUCUUGGAUUUAUUGAAGACUAACUACUGCGAAAGCAUUUGCCAAGGAUGUUUUCAUUAAUCAAGAACGAAAGUUAGGGGAUCGAAGACGAUCAGAUACCGUCGUAGUCUUAACCAUAAACUAUGCCGACUAGGGAUCGGAUGAUGUAAUUUUUAAUGACUCAUUCGGCGCCUUACG